AAUGUCCUGAAUAAAUGCUUGCAUGGACGGUGUGAACAAUAUUAACCGGAAAAACAACUUAAAUGUAAGGGGUCAUCGGAAAAUAAUCGUAUUUUUGUUGUGUAAACGUGAAAACAAUAAAACUACAGUGAUGAACAUAAAGGUUGAACCAUGCUCUCAGGACAAGAGUUCUUUCAUGUUUUCAAAUGUCAAGUCAGGAUGUCCCCCAUCCCCCCCCCCCCCCCACAAUUGUUUUACUACUAAACCCUUAAUAGGCUGUUUAAUGGCAGAUUCCACUGGGACAACUUGCCCCACAAAAAGGUGAUGUAUUGUUUUCAAGCUGUGGAUCAGAAAGGACCUGAAUGACCUGCUAAACCAGAUGAAGGUGGCCUUCAGGUCUGGGGAGACUGAAGGACUGAAUGCAUGAGAUGCUGAAGAAGAUGCUUUGUGGUGAAAAAUGCUGCAGGGGAUGAACUGGAGUACAAGCUUCAACAGAACAAUGUAAAGCAGGGGAGGAGUAAAAACAGCCUGGUAACCUUCAUUAGCUAACAGCAAACACAAACUCGCUGCAAGAUACUUUUGGUUACUUUGAAAGUGCACUCCAACUGAACUAUUUUAAAAAUAAAACAAAUAUAUGUAAAUAAUAUAAUAAUAAUAUACAGUAUAAAGGAACAUAAUAUACAAAUGUAUAUAAAAUAUAUUUAAAAUAAAUAUUGAAUAGCACAAAACUGGACAAUAGAAGACUGGAAAAAUAUUGCCUGCUUUGAUGAGUCUUGAUUUCAGAUGGUAGGGUCAGAAUUUGGCAUAAACAACAUGAAAGCAUGGAUCUAUCCUGCCUUAUAUCAACGGUUCAGGCUGCUGGUGGUUUAAUGUAUAAUCAUAUUUUCUUAUCACUCUUAGUAACAAUUGAGCAUCGUUUAAACACCACAGCAUACAUUUGCUGACCAUGUUUAUCCCUUUAUGACUACAGUGUCUCAUCUUCUGAUGGCUAUUUCCAGCAGGAUAAUGCACCAUGUCACAGAGGUCAAAUCAUCUCAAACUGGUUUCCUGAACAUGACAAUGAGUUCACUAUACUGAAACUGACUCAACAGUCACCAGAUCUCAAUCCAGCUUUGGGAUGUGCUGGAAAGGGAGAUUUACAAAUCUGCAGCUGACAAAUCUUCAGCAACUGUUUGAUGAUAUCAUGUCAAUUUCAUGUCUGAGGAAUGUUUCCAGCACCUUGUUGAAUCUAUGAUGUGCAGCAAGAGUGUCGAGCUUCACAAAAUAGCUAAGCAUUAAAGCAUUGAAAAUUCCCAUUCCCACCAUCCCCUGAUGGUGUAUAAUUAAGAAGUUCUAAUCAACAGGAAAUGUUACGAUUCUACCUGGAAGAGGACAUGUGUCUUGUAGUCUUGUGUUCAGAAAGCCUAAAAUAUGAUCAAAUGGCACCUACAUGUUGUUUGGGCUUUUUGGCAGCAAACCCACCAGAUGGUUAUAAAAAGUACCCCAUGCCCACAGUUAAAUAUACUGCUGGAUCUUUAAUAUUGUGGGCCUAUUUUUCUGUUGGAGGUCCUGGACAUCUUGUUCAGAUACAUGACAUCAUGGGUUCUAGCAAAUACCAACAGAAAAAACAAAACAAACUUAGCUUCUGCUAAAAAUCUUAUAAUGGGCAGUGGUUGGAUCUUCCAUCAGGACAAUGAUCCAAAACAAACAACAAAAUCAACACAAAAAUGGGUCACUGAGCACAAAAUGAAGCUUCUGCCAUGACUGUCCCAGUCCCCUGACCUGAACCCUAUAGAAAAUGAGUGGGGUGAACUGAAGAGGAGAGACACCAUCAUGGUGUUGGGAAUCUUUCAGAUUCCUAACAUCAUGGAGAGAUCCUGUAUGGAGGAAUGGUCUCUAAUCUCCAAACUCAUCAGGCAUUUAUUGUGAAGACUCUAAUAAUAAAAGACUCUUGAAUAAAAGGGUGCCAAUAAUUUUGGCCAAUGUGUAUUGGAGAAAAAGAGAUUUUUCCCACGUUCAAUUCUUUUACUUUGAUGCAAAGAGAUUUUUGUGAUUUAUUUUGUGAAAUAAAAGAUCAAAAGGAUUAUCAAUGCAUAUUUAUUUUUACAGGCUUUUUUGUUCAUAUUUACCAAGGGUGCCAAUAAUUCUGACCAUAACUGUAUAUAUAGUAAUGGCCAAAGUGAUGUCCGGUGGGGAUAUUCUACAAGUUUGAUUAAGCCGUCAAAAUAUGAGGACAAUAUUUUAUAUUUUUUAAAUAUUUUAAAUAUGAGGGAAAAACAAAACACUAAACUUGGUUAAGGUACACUAUCUGACAAAAUUGUUUGGCCAAAAGGCAAACUAAAAAA